AUGGAAGAAGAGAAGAAACCACACUUGCAGCCACCGCCGUCGUGGUCAGCCCUCCCGCUGGACCUAGCAGGCCUGGUGCUCAGCCUGCUCCCCGAGUACGCCGACCGCGCCCGCUUCGCCGCGGUGUGCCCCCAGUGGCGUGCGGUCGCGAGGCAGCAGCCCCAGACCCCGCCACUGCCGCUGCUCACGCUCCCGGACGGCACCUUCUACAGCCUCCUCUCCGGCAAACCCUUCCGCUUCCCUGGCUGCGGCUUCGCUGGGUACGAGAGCGUCUGUGGCAGCUGGCUCGUCUUCUCGCGUGAUGACGGGUGCUUCCUGGUCAAUCCAUUCUCUGGGGCCACCGUGACGCUCCCUGCUCUCUCCAACGUCCGACUCCGGCCUCCAAAUGCAGUCGCUAAAUGGUCAGGCCACGAAAGUGCAAAGAUUGCCGACCCUUACAUCACAUGGAUGCAUAUGAAUACAUCAGAACAGCUGCACAUAAGUAAGCUUCUCAUGUGCUCGGCAAACCUUGUUGCUGCACUGGUUGGAAUUGGACACACCAGUCAGAUUCUAAUGUGCCAGCCAGGGGCAUUGUCAUGGUCAGUGCGUGCUUAUGACCAGUGUAAGAGGUUCGAAGACAUGACAUUCUACCAGGGAAAGCUCUAUGCCAUUGCUGAUGACGAGAACCUCCUUGUGGUGAACAUCAGCCAGGACCAUAGCACUGGCGAUCCACAGGUUUCUCGGAUUGGACAAGUCAUUGAGGGUGAGCCAUGGCAUCCAGCUGUGUUUGAGGACAACACUAUGCGCUGCAAGAAGCUCUACCUGGUUGAAUCGCAUGGGGUGUUGCUGAUGGCACGAAGGACGAUCUUGUGCCGUGUACCUGGACCUGGAGUGCGCGGUGAAGUUGUUGCUGGACGGUUUGAGGUUUUCAAGGCUGACUUUGAGCAUUCACGGUGGGUCAAGGUGUCAACUGUGGGGGCUGACCAAGUGUUGUUUCUAGGGCGAAGGUGCUCCAGGGCCAUGUCUGUGUCUCUGUGCGGAUUGUCGGGUGAUUGUAUCUUCUUCAUGGAUGAUGAGGAGGAGAAUCGUAUGGAUUACCGAUACGACGGGGAGAACACCUCUUUCUGCUUCUUUGAGAUGAGAUCCAACGAUGUCUAUUCCGCUCAUCCAUUUAUUUCCUGGAAGCGUUGUGAUGAGAAGCGUCCGGCUGCAUGGCUCUUCCCUCAGGACUGA
rnacentral:rRNA from 1 species